GGCUUUAUACCACCCUGAACGCGCCCGAUCUCGUCUGAUCUCGGAAGCUAAGCAGGGUCGGGCCUGGUUAGUACUUGGAUGGGAGGAUUUUUUUUUAAACUCACCUUUUCCAUGAGUUAUGGUUAUAUCAGCUU
rnacentral:rRNA from 1 species